ACCUGCCUGAACUGAUGUGUUCAUUUCAAAGAUUAAGCCAUGCAUGUGUAAGUUUAACCUGCCAGACAGGGAAACUGCGUACGGCUCAUUACACCAGCUAUAAUUUACUUGACCUUGACUUCUUACUUGGAUAACUGUGGUAAUUCUAGAGCUAAUACAUGCACCAAAGCUCCAAUCUCCCCAGAGCGGAGCGCAUUUGUUCGCCACAAAACCAAGCGCCCUCCGGGCGUCCAGUGUUGACUCAGAACAACUAAGCUGAUCGCACGGUCUUGUACCGGCGACGUGUCUUUCAAGUGUCUGCCUUAUCAACUUUCGAUGGUAGUGUAUCUGACUACCAUGGUGAUGACGGGUAACGGAGGAUAAGGGUUCGACUCCGGAGAAGGGGCCUGAGAAAUGGCCACUACGUCUAAGGAUGGCAGCAGGCGCGCAAAUUACCCACUCUCAACGCGAGGAGGUAGUGACGAGAAAUAACGAGACCGAUCUCUUAUGAGGCCGGUCAUCGGAAUGGGUACAAUUUAAACCCUUUAACGAGUAUCUAUGAGAGGGCAAGUCUGGUGCCAGCAGCCGCGGUAAUUCCAGCUCUCAAAAUGCAUAGAAUUAUUGCUGCGGUUAAAAAGCUCGUAGUUGGAUCUGUGCUAGCCGUCCGGUGCACACUUUGUGUGUUACUGGUUUGGUUGGCUUUUCUGCCGGUCUNUCCCCGGCGUUGGCCUUUACCGGUCGGCGUCGGUGGGCUGGCGAGUUUACUUUGAACAAAUCAGAGUGCUUCAAACAGGCGUUUCGCUUGAAUGUUCGUGCAUGGAAUAAUAGAAGAGGAUUUCGGUCCGAUUUUAUUGGUUUUGCUGACCGAGAUAAUGGUUAACAGAGACAAACGGGGCCAUUCGUAUUGCUACGUGAGAGGUGAAAUUCUUGGACCGUAGCAAGACGGACUACAGCGAAAGCAUUUGGCAAGAAUGUCUUCAUUAAUCAAGAACGAAAGUCAGAGGUUCGAAGGCGAUCAGAUACCGCCCAU
rnacentral:rRNA from 1 species